rnacentral:tRNA from 1 species
GGUUUUAUAGUCAAUUAUGAUUUUAAAUUGCAAAUUUAAAGGUAAUUUUUUAAUUUUUAGCCU